UACGAAGGGGGCUAGCGUUGCUCGGAAUCACUGGGCGUAAAGGGUGCGUAGGCGGGUUUUUAAGUCAGAGGGGAAAUCCUGGAGCUCAACUCCAGAACUGCCUUUGAUACUGGGAAUCUUGAGUAUGGAAGAGGUGAGUGGAACUGCGAGUGUAGAGGUGAAAUUCGUAGAUAUUCGGAAGAACACCAGUGGCGAAGGCGGCUCACUGGCCCGGUACUGACGCUGAGGUGCGAAAGCGUGGGGAGCAAACAGG
rnacentral:rRNA from 1 species